rnacentral:rRNA from 1 species
GUCUACGACCAUACCACUCUGGAUGCACUGAUCUCGUCUGAUCUCAGAAGCUAAGUAGGGUUGGGCCUGGUAAGUAUGUGGAUG